GAUGAACGCUGGCGGCGUGCCUAAUACAUGCAAGUCGAGCGAACAGACUUGAACCUUGUUCCCCUGAUGUUAUCGGCCGACGGGUGUGUAACACUUGGAUCACCUCCGUAUACGACUGGGAUAACUUCAGAAAACUGGAUCUCAUACCCGAUAAUAUAUUGUACCGUAUGGUUCAAUAAUAAGAUACGGUUUCGCUGUUACUUCUAGAUGCUUCCGCGUCGCAUUAGGUAGUUGGUAAGGCUACGCCUUACCAAGGCAACGCUGCGUAGCCGACCUGAGAGGGUGAUCGGCCACACUGGAAGGGAGACACGGUCCAGACUCCUACGGGAGGCAGCAGUAGGGAAUGUUGAGAAAUGGGCGAAAGCUUGACGGAGCAACGCCGCGUGAGGGAUGAAGGUCUUCGGAGCGUAAAACUCUGUUAUUAGGGAAGAACAAAUGUGUAAGUAACUAUGCACGUCUUGAAGGUACCUAAUCAGAAAGCCACGGCUAACUACGUG
rnacentral:rRNA from 1 species